rnacentral:lncRNA from 1 species
CAUAGGUACUACAAUCAGCUGCAGGUGAAGGAGAUUGAUCCUGUGAUCCAGUCUUAUAGAAAUUAGGCUGAGUGUAAUGAUGAUUGACGGUGGUUAUGCGAGCAUUUUGAGAGUAAGGUAUUUAAAAUAUGUUUAGUAUUUCAAGUUAUUUUGAUAUUGUUAUGUCUUUUAUUAGUUAUAACUGUAUGUAUUUUUUAGCGA